UACGUAGGGUGCGAGCGUUGUCCGGAAUUAUUGGGCGUAAAGGGCUCGUAGGCGGUUUGUCGCGUCGGGAGUGAAAACCCAGGGCUUAACCCUGGGUUGGCUUCCGAUACGGGCAGACUAGAGGUAUGCAGGGGAGAACGGAAUUCCUGGUGUAGCGGUGAAAUGCGCAGAUAUCAGGAGGAACACCGGUGGCGAAGGCGGUUCUCUGGGCAUUACCUGACGCUGAGGAGCGAAAGUGUGGGGAGCGAACAGG
rnacentral:rRNA from 1 species